rnacentral:rRNA from 1 species
CAAAAACAUCUUUUCUUGUUAGUUUUUGAAGUAUGGCCUGCCCACUGACUGUUAAAGUUGAAGGGCCGCGGUAUUUUGACCGUGCAAAGGUAGCAUAAUCAUUAGUUCUUUAAUUGUGAUCUGGUAUGAAUGGCUUGACGAGGCAUAAGCUGUCUUAGAGGUAUUGGUUUAAUUGAAUUUGGUUUUUGAGUUAAAAUUCUUAAAUGUUUUUAUGGGACGAGAAGACCCUAUAGAGUUUGACAAUUUUCUUACUUGUUCAUUGUUUGUUUUUGUUACAUUAAGUGGGAGUAUAUUGUUUUGUUGGGGUGAUGGGAGGAAUAUUAUCUAACUCCUCUUUGUUUUUGUAUAUUUAUGUAUAUAUUUUUGAUCCAUUUAUUUUGAUUAUAAGAUUAAAUUACC